rnacentral:rRNA from 1 species
GACGAAGGAUGCAAGCGUUAUCCGGAUUCAUUGGGUUUAAAGGGAAGCGUAGGUGGCCUUAUAAGUCAGUGGUGAAAUCUACUGGGCUUAAGCCCAGAAAUUGCCAUUGAUACUGUAGGGCUUGAGUAUAGUUGCCGUUGGGCGGAAUAUGACAUGUAGUGGAUGAAAUACAUAGAGAUGUCAUAGAACACCGAUUGCGAAGGCAGCUGACGAAACUAUAACUGACACUGAAGGCUCGGAAAGUGAUGGGGAUCAAACCAGGAUUAGAAACCCUUGAU